GCAAUUAUGAGAAGAGGAAAAAAAAACUGGCCAUAUUGUGAAAACCAAUUUUCCAGGAUUGUGUCCAGCCUCGACAUCCCCCUAGCUCCCCACCCCUUGACAGGCCCCGGUGUAUGAUAUUCCCCUCCCUGUGUCCGUGUGUUAUCAUUGUUCAACUCCCACUUAUAAGUGAGAACGUGCAGUGUUUGGUUUUCUGGUUUCUUCUGAGGCCACCCUUCUUGGCUUGUAGAUGAUUGCCUUUCCCCUGUGUUCUCAAUAGUCUUUCCUCUAGGUAGGCAUUCCUUGCAUCUUUUGUGUCUCCAAAACCUGGGUCCUUAAUCCCUACAUUUUACAGCCUCAAAUCCCAUUCUCUACGCUUCUUACUCUAACAGUGAUCUUAUUUCCAAGUUGUGAGGACAUUUUAUGGUUGCUCUUUAUGGGUUCUCUACCCCACUCUUCACCUUGCUGACUCCCCUUUGUUUUGGGAUCAAAACACCACCAGUUCUUUCCAACAUCUUCUACAUGGCAUGUCCUCGUGUGUCCAUAUCUAAUUAUGUAACAGGAAAUGCUAUCCCAUGCUCUGGGUAUGAAGUCCAGUGGGACCAUUCCUGCUGGAAUUUGUAAACCACACUUUCAUAAAUAUAGUCAAAGAUUAUGCUGGACUUAGUGUAAUUAAUUAGACUAUCAAUAUCACCUAAGCUAUGAUUUAGACCUUGAAAGCCCCCUGUUACAGGCUGAAUUGUGUAUCCUCCCCUUAUUCAGUUUAUAUAUUCGAGUCCUAACCCCAGUACC
rnacentral:lncRNA from 1 species